UACGUAGGGUGCAAGCGUUGUCCGGAAUUAUUGGGCGUAAAGAGCUCGUAGGCGGUUUGUCGCGUCGAAUGUGAAAACCCGGGGCUCAACCCCGGGCCUGCAUUCGAUACGGGCAGACUAGAGUGUGGUAGGGGAGAUCGGAAUUCCUGGUGUAGCGGUGAAAUGCGCAGAUAUCAGGAGGAACACUGGUGGCGAAGGCGGAUCCCUGGGCCAUUUCUUGCGGUGAGGAGCGAAAGCGUGGGGAGCGAACAGG
rnacentral:rRNA from 1 species